rnacentral:tRNA from 1 species
GCCGGGCUAGCUCAGUUGGUAGAGCAGCUCAUUCGUAAUGAGCAGGUCGACGGUUCGAAUCCGUUGCCCGGCUCCA